UACAGAGGGUGCAAGCGUUGUUCGGAAUUAUUGGGCGUAAAGGGCGCGUAGGCGGUGCUGUAAGUCUGUAGUGAAAUCUCUGGGCUCAACUCAGAGUCUGCUAUAGAAACUGCAGUGCUGGAGUGUGGGAGAGGUGAGUGGAAUUCCCGGUGUAGCGGUGAAAUGCGUAGAUAUCGGAAGGCCAACGGCGAAGGCAGGUUACUGGUGCGCAACUGACACUGAGGCACGAAAGCGUGGGGAGCAAACAGG
rnacentral:rRNA from 1 species